AUUGAACGCUGGCGGCAGGCCUAACACAUGCAAGUCGAACGAGUGGCGGACGGGUGAGUAAUGUCUGGGAAACUGCCUGAUGGAGGGGGAUAACUACUGGAAACGGUAGCUAAUACCGCAUACCAUCGGAUGUGCCCAGAUGGGAUUAGCUAGUAGGUGGGGUAACGGCUCACCUAGGCGACGAUCCCUAGCUGGUCUGAGAGGAUGACCAGCCACACUGGAACUGAGACACGGUCCAGACUCCUACGGGAGGCAGCAGUGGGGAAUCUUCCGCAAUGGACGAAAGUCUGACGGAGCAACGCCGUGUGAGUGAUGACGGCCUUCGGGUUGUAAAGGACUUUUGUCAGGGAAGCGGUACCUGAAGAAUAAGCACCGGCUAACUACGUGCCAGCAGCCGCGGUAAUAC
rnacentral:rRNA from 1 species